rnacentral:rRNA from 1 species
AGUGAACGCUGGCGGUAGGCCUAACACAUGCAAGUCGAACGGCAGCACAGGAGAGCUUGCUCUCUGGGUGGCGAGUGGCGGACGGGUGAGGAAUACAUCGGAAUCUACUCUGUCGUGGGGGAUAACGUAGGGAAACUUACGCUAAUACCGCAUACGACCUACGGGUGAAAGCAGGGGACCUUCGGGCCUUGCGCGAUUGAAUGAUCCGAUGUCGGAUUAGCUAGUUGGCGGGGGAAAGGCCCACCCAGGCGACGAUCCGUAGCUGGGCUUAGAGGAUGAUCAGCCCCACGGGAACUGAGACACGGGCCAGACUCCUACGGGAGGCAGCAGUGGGGAAUAUUGGACAAUGGGCGCAAGCCUGAUCCAGCCAGACCGCGUGGGUGAAGAAGGCCUUCGGGUUGUAAAGCCCUUUUGUUGGGAAAGAAAUCCAGCUGGCUAAUACCCGGUUGGGAUGACGGUACCCAAAGAAUAAGCACCGGCUAACUUCGUGCCAGCCGCCGCUGUAA